UAUUUUGCCGAUCGGGGAAGGUCGAGAACCUUCGAUUAAGGUUCGACUCGAGCAACGCGAGAGCGCGUUGCCGCAGGCAACGACCCGAAGGGUGAGGCGCUUUAGCGCCGAGUAAUCCUUCCCCCACCACCA
rnacentral:sRNA from 4 species